CCUACGGGAGGCUGCAGUCGAGGAUCUUCGGCAAUGGGCGCAAGCCUGACCGAGCGACGCCGCGUGUGCGAUGAAGGCCUUCGGGUUGUAAAGCACUGUCGAGGGGGAGGAAAGCCCGAAAGGGUCUGACCUAUCCCUGGAGGAAGGACGGGCUAAGUUCGUGCCAGCAGCCGCGGUAAGACGAACCGUCCUAACGUUGUUCGGAAUCACUGGGCUUAAAGGGCGCGUAGGCGGGCGAUCAAGUCAGGGGUGAAAUCUUUCGGCUUAACCGGAAAAUAGCUUUUGAUACUGAUCGUCUUGAGGGAGGUAGGGGUUGCUGGAACUUCUGGUGGAGCGGUGAAAUGCGUUGAUAUCAGAAGGAACGCCGGUGGCGAAAGCGAGCAACUGGAUCUCUUCUGACGCUGAGGCGCGAAAGCUAGGGUAGCGAACGGGAUUAGAUA
rnacentral:rRNA from 1 species